AUGCCAUGGUGAGGACAUUUUCUUAACAUAUCGUUGAACCUUUCCUAUGCAUUAGGAACAUAUUCAUUAUCCAAUUGUUUAAGAAGACAUAUUUCAUUUCUGGACUU